UUCAGCUGGUGGGAUGCUUUACAUGCAAGUCGAACUAUGUUACACGGACUUUAACAGUCAAAAAGAGUGGAAAGAAUCACAGUAGUGAAGGUAUCGAAUCGUUCAGUAGGGGGAUAACUACGCGAAAGCGCAGCUUAACAUCGAUACGCCCUUCGGGAAAGCAAGAACCUUCAAAUUUUUGCAGAAACUGUCAGGGAUGGGCCGAUAUCGGAUUAGCUAGUUGGUGGGUAAGGCUCACCAAGAUCCGUAUCGGUUCGGCGGAGACGACCAGCCACACUGGGACUGAGACACGGCCCAGACUCUGAGUAAGAGGCGGGAAAUUCGACAAUGGGGAAACCCUGAUCCAGCCAUCCCGUGCGAUGAAGGCCUCAAUAAAGCAGAGGUAAAGAAACGGCACAGGAUAAUACCCAACAACUGGACGUACCUGCAAUGGAACGGCCGGUCCUGCCGUGCCACUGGCAGCGGUAAUACGUAGGGUGCAAGCAAGAACGGAAUACUGGGCGUAAAGCGUGCGCAGGUUCGGAAAGAAAGAUGUGAAAUCCCAGAGCUUAACUUUGGAAACUGCAUUUAAUCAUCACGAGCCAAGGUGUCAGAGGGAGGCGGAAUUCCGCGUGGUGAAAUGCGUAGAUAUGCGGAGGACCGAUGAUGGCGAAGGCAGCCUCCUGGACACUGUCACGACGAAAGCGAGGAGCAAACACAGGAUCAGGAUACCCUGGUAGUCCACGCCCUAAACGAUGUCAACUACUUUUCGGGGCCUUCGGGCCUUGCAGGCGAAGCAACGCGUGGCUGACCGCCUGGGGAGUACGGUCGCAAGAUUAAAACUCAAAGGAAUUGACGGGGGGACCCGCACAAGCGGUGGAUGCGAUGUGGAUUAAUUCGAUGCAACGCGAAAACCUUACAUCGUUCCGGAUACCUGGAAUCCCGAAGAGAUUUGGGAGGCUCAUAGCCGGAACACAGGUGCUGCAUGUCGUCAGCUCGUAAGCCGUGAGCGUUAAGUCCCGCAUCGAAAAGAACUUUGUCACAGUUGCUACGAAAGGGGCACUCGCAGAGACUGUUGCGCACAAACCGGAGGAAGGUGGGGAUACGCUGUCCUCAGGUAAUUUACAGGUGAGAAGUCAGCGCCAGACAAUGACGGGAGGGACGCCAACCGCGAGGGGGUGGGACAAUCCUGCAGAGCCCUGAACGUAGUCCGGAUCGCAGUCUGCAACUCGACUGCGUGAAGUCGGAAUCGCUAGAAACGUGAUCUUCAGAGCACAGCCGCGGUGAACACGUUCCUGGCCCGCACACUGCCCGUCACACAUGGGAGUGGGUUUUACCAGAAGCUGGUUAGCUCAACUGUAAGGAGGGCGAUUACCACGGUAGGAUUCAUGACUGGGGUGUCGUAACAAGGUAA
rnacentral:rRNA from 1 species